UACGGAGGGGGCUAGCGUUGUUCGGAAUUACUGGGCGUAAAGCGCACGUAGGCGGCUUUGUAAGUUAGAGGUGAAAGCCCGGGGCUCAACCCCGGAAUUGCCUUUAAGACUGCAUCGCUUGAACGUCGGAGAGGUGAGUGGAAUUCCGAGUGUAGAGGUGAAAUUCGUAGAUAUUCGGAAGAACACCAGUGGCAAAGGCGGCUCACUGGACGACUGUUGACGCUGAGGUGCGAAAGCGUGGGGAGCAAACAGG
rnacentral:rRNA from 1 species